rnacentral:rRNA from 1 species
UACGUAGGCAGCGAGCGUUGUUCGGCGUUACUGGGCGUAAAGGGUGUGUAGGCGGUUGUUUAAGUUUGGUGUGAAAUCUCCCGGCUCAACUGGGAGGGUGCGCCGAAUACUGAAUGACUUGGAGUGCGGGAGAGGUGAGUGGAAUUCCUGGUGUAGCGGUGAAAUGCGUAGAUAUCAGGAGGAACACCGGUGGUGUAGACGGCUCACUGGACCGUAACUGACGCUGAGACACGAAAGCGUGGGGAGCAAACAGG